GUCUUUUUGAUAAUAAUCUAAAGCUAAUCUGCCCACUGAUAAUUAUUAAAGGGCUGCAGUAUCAUGACUGUACAAAGGUAGCAUAAUCAUUAGUUUUUUAAUUGAAAACUUGUAUGAAAGAUUUGAUGAAAUAUGGACUGUCUCUUUUUUAUUGUUAGAAAUUUAUUUUUUAGUUAAAAAGCUAAAAUAAUUUUAAAAGACGAGAAGACCCUAUAGAGUUUUAUAUUUAUAUUUAUUUUAAAGUUAUAUAAAAAUUGAAGUUAAAAUAAAAUUAAAUAUUAUGUUGGGGUGACAGAAAAAUUUAAUUAACUUUUUUUAAAAAUUAAACAUUAAUAAAUGAAUAAAUGAUCCAUGAAUAAUGAUUAUAAGAAAAAAUUACCUUAGG
rnacentral:rRNA from 1 species